rnacentral:rRNA from 1 species
UACGAAGGGGGCUAGCGUUGCUCGGAAUCACUGGGCGUAAAGCGCACGUAGGCGGAUUGCUAAGUCAGGGGUGAAAUCCUGGAGCUCAACUCCAGAACUGCCUUUGAUACCGGCGACCUUGAGUCCGGGAGAGGUGAGUGGAACUGCGAGUGUAGAGGUGAAAUUCGUAGAUAUUCGCAAGAACACCAGUGGCGAAGGCGGCUCACUGGCCCGGUACUGACGCUGAGGUGCGAAAGCGUGGGGAGCAAACAGG